CCUACGGGGGGCAGCAGUGGGGAAUAUUGGACAAUGGGGGGAACCCUGAUCCAGCCAUGCCGCGUGUGUGAAGAAGGCCCUCGGGUUGUAAAGCACUUUCAGUGAGGAAGAACGCCUGGUGGUUAAUACCCAUCAGGAAAGACAUCACUCACAGAAGAAGCACCGGCUAACUCCGUGCCAGCAGCCGCGGUAAUACGGAGGGUGCGAGCGUUAAUCGGAAUUACUGGGCGUAAAGCGCGCGUAGGUGGCUUGAUAAGCCGGUUGUGAAAGCCCCGGGCUCAACCUGGGAACGGCAUCCGGAACUGUCAAGCUAGAGUGCAGGAGAGGAAGGUAGAAUUCCCGGUGUAGCGGUGAAAUGCGUAGAGAUCGGGAGGAAUACCAGUGGCGAAGGCGGCCUUCUGGACUUAAACUGACACUGAGGUGCGAAAGCGUGGGUAGCAAACAGGAUUAGAUACCCCAGUAGUC
rnacentral:rRNA from 1 species